rnacentral:rRNA from 1 species
CACGUAGGGUGCGAGCGUUGUCCGGAAUCAUUGGGCGUAAAGCGCACGUAGGCGGUUCGUUAUGUCGGAUGUGAAAGCCCUUGGCUUAACCGAGGAAGUGCAUCCGAAACUGGCGAGCUAGAGUACUAAAGAGGAUCGCGGAAUUCCCGGUGUAGAGGUGAAAUUCGUAGAUAUCGGGAGGAACACCGGUGGCGAAGGCGGCGAUCUGGGUAGAUACUGACGCUGAGGUGCGAAAGCGUGGGGAGCAAACAGG